CGAGCAGGUGCGAAAGCAGGUCAUAGUGAUCCGGUGGUUCUGAAUGGAAGGGCCAUCGCUCAACGGAUAAAAGGUACUCCGGGGAUAACAGGCUGAUACCGCCCAAGAGUUCAUAUCGACGGCGGGGUUUGGCACCUCGAUGUCGGCUCAUCACAUCCUGGGGCUGAAGUAGGUCCCAAGGGGAUGGCUGUUCGCCAUUUAAAGUGGUACGCGAGCUGGGUUUAGAACGUCGUGAGACAGUUCGGUCCCUAUCUGCCGUGGGCGCUGGAGAAUUGAGGGGGGCUGCUCCUAGUACGAGAGGACCGGAGUGGACGCAUCACUGGUGUUCGGGUUGUCAUGCCAAUGGCACUGCCCGGUAGCUAAAUGCGGAAGAGAUAAGUGCUGAAAGCAUCUAAGCACGAAACUUGCCCCGAGAUGAGUUCUCCCUGAGACUUUAAGUCUCCUGAAGGAACGUUAAAGACGAUGACGUUGAUAGGCCGGGUGUGUAAGCGCAGCGAUGCGUUGAGCUAACCGGUACUAAUGAACCGUGAGGCUUAACCUUACAACGCCGAAG
rnacentral:rRNA from 1 species